GGAUUAGAUACCCUGGUAGUCCACGCCCUAAACGAUGUACACUAGUUGUUGCGAUGCUAGACAUUGCAGUAAUGCAGUUAACACAUUAAGUGUACCGCCUGGGGAGUACGGUCGCAAGAUUAAAACUCAAAGGAAUAGACGGGGACCCGCACAAGCGGUGGAGCAUGUGGUUUAAUUCGACGAUACGCGAAGAACCUUACCUGGCCUUGACAUUGAAAGAACCUUUUAGAGAUAGAAGGGUGCUAGUUUACUAGAACUUGAAAACAGGUGCUGCACGGCUGUCGUCAGCUCGUGCCG
rnacentral:rRNA from 1 species